GAUUGGGUAGGGUCAAAAGCAAUUUUGAUAUAGAAAACGAGUUGGUAGGAUACCUGCUAAAUUUUAGGUUUAUCCACUGGGGUGCGAGGUACACAACGGUGGGUGUGCUUUUCGACACCCCUGCGGAGGCUCAAAAAUUUGACUAUAACCCUAAUUUGGUUUCUCCCCACCUAUGGUGGGCAAAAAUUGACAAGCGCCUGAGGGUGUGGGCUGUCACCCGGAAUAGAAACUGAAUGGAUAGAAGAUACUUAUCUUUUGGGGUCUGGGUGGUGACCCAGCCAGGCGCUUAAAUGUAAAAAUUUUGCCAGCGGCUGAUUGGGUAGGGUCAAAAGCAAUUUUGAUAUAGAAAACGAGUUGGUAGGAUACCUGCUAAAUUUUAGGUUUAUCCACUGGGGUGCGAGGUACACAACGGUGGGUGUGCUUUUCGACACCCCUGCGGAGGCUCAAAAAUUU